AGCGAACGCUGGCGGCAGGCCUAACACAUGCAAGUCGAACGAACUCUUCGGAGUUAGUGGUGGACUGGUGAGUAACACGUGGGAACGUGCCUUUAGGUUCGGAAUAACUCAGGGAAACAUGUGCUAAUACCGAAUGUGAUCUCCGGGGGAAAGAUUUAUCGCCUUUAGAGCGGCCUGCGUCUGAUUAGCUAGUUGGUGAGGUAAAGGCUCACCAAGGCGACGAUCAGUAGCUGGUCUGAGAGGAUGAUCAGCCACAUUGGGACUGAGACACGGCCCAAACUCCUGCGGGAAGCAGCAGUGGGGAAUCUUGCGCAAUGGGCGAAAGCCUGACGCAGCCAUGCCGCGUGAAUGAUGAAGGUCUUAGGAUUGUAAAAUUCUUUCACCGGGGACGAUAAUGACGGUACCCGGAGAAGAAGCCCCGGCUAACUUCGUG
rnacentral:rRNA from 1 species